GGCUCAGGACGAACGCUGGCGGCGUGCCUAAUACAUGCAAGUCGAACGAACUCUGGUAUUGAUUGGUGCUUGCAUCAUGAUUUACAUUUGAGUGAGUGGCGAACUGGUGAGUAACACGUGGGAAACCUGCCCAGAAGCGGGGGAUAACACCUGGAAACAGAUGCUAAUACCGCAUAACAACUUGGACCGCAUGGUCCGAGCUUGAAAGAUGGCUUCGGCUAUCACUUUUGGAUGGUCCCGCGGCGUAUUAGCUAGAUGGUGGGGUAACGGCUCACCAUGGCAAUGAUACGUAGCCGACCUGAGAGGGUAAUCGGCCACAUUGGGACUGAGACACGGCCCAAACUCCUACGGGAGGCAGCAGUAGGGAAUCUUCCACAAUGGACGAAAGUCUGAUGGAGCAACGCCGCGUGAGUGAAGAAGGGUUUCGGCUCGUAAAACUCUGUUGUUAAAGAAGAACAUAUCUGAGAGUAACUGUUCAGGUAUUGACGGUAUUUAACCAGAAAGCCACGGCUAACUACGUGCCAGCAGCCGCGGUAAUACGUAGGUGGCAAGCGUUGUCCGGAUUUAUUGGGCGUAAAGCGAGCGCAGGCGGUUUUUUAAGUCUGAUGUGAAAGCCUUCGGCUCAACCGAAGAAGUGCAUCGGAAACUGGGAAACUUGAGUGCAGAAGAGGACAGUGGAACUCCAUGUGUAGCGGUGAAAUGCGUAGAUAUAUGGAAGAACACCAGUGGCGAAGGCGGCUGUCUGGUCUGUAACUGACGCUGAGGCUCGAAAGUAUGGGUAGCAAACAGGAUUAGAUAC
rnacentral:rRNA from 1 species